GACGAACGCUGGCGGCGUGCCUAAUACAUGCAAGUCGAACGAACUCUGGUAUUGAUUGGUGCUUGCAUCAUGAUUUACAUUUGAGUGAGUGGCGAACUGGUGAGUAACACGUGGGAAACCUGCCCAGAAGCGGGGGAUAACACCUGGAAACAGAUGCUAAUACCGCAUAACAACUUGGACCGCAUGGUCCGAGCUUGAAAGAUGGCUUCGGCUAUCACUUUUGGAUGGUCCCGCGGCGUAUUAGCUAGAUGGUGGGGUAAUGGCUCACCAUGGCAAUGAUACGUAGCCGACCUGAGAGGGUAAUCGGCCACAUUGGGACUGAGACACGGCCCAAACUCCUACGGGAGGCAGCAGUAGGGAAUCUUCCACAAUGGACGAAAGUCUGAUGGAGCAACGCCGCGUGAGUGAAGAAGGGUUUCGGCUCGUAAAACUCUGUUGUUAAAGAAGAACAUAUCUGAGAGUAACUGUUCAGGUAUUGACGGUAUUUAACCAGAAAGCCACGGCUAACUACGUGCCAGCAGCCGCGGCAAUACGUAGGUGGCAAGCGUUGUCCGGAUUUAUUGGGCGUAAAGCGAGCGCAGGCGGUUUUUUAAGUCUGAUGUGAAAGCCUUCGGCUCAACCGAAGAAGUGCAUCGGAAACUGGGAAACUUGAGUGCAGAAGAGGACAGUGGAACUCCAUGUGUAGCGGUGAAAUGCGUAGAUAUAUGGAAGAACACCAGUGGCGAAGGCGGCUGUCUGGUCUGUAACUGACGCUGAGGCUCGAAAGUAUGGGUAGCAAACAGGAUUAGAUACCCUGGUAGUCCAUACCGUAAACGAUGAAUGCUAAGUGUUGGAGGGUUUCCGCCCUUCAGUGCUGCAGCUAACGCAUUAAGCAUUCCGCCUGGGGAGUACGGCCGCAAGGCUGAAACUCAAAGGAAUUGACGGGGGCCCGCACAAGCGGUGGAGCAUGUGGUUUAAUUCGAAGCUACGCGAAGAACCUUACCAGGUCUUGACAUACUAUGCAAAUCUAAGAGAUUAGACGUUCCCUUCGGGGACAUGGAUACAGGUGGUGCAUGGUUGUCGUCAGCUCGUGUCGUGAGAUGUUGGGUUAAGUCCCGCAACGAGCGCAACCCUUAUUAUCAGUUGCCAGCAUUAAGUUGGGCACUCUGGUGAGACUGCCGGUGACAAACCGGAGGAAGGUGGGGAUGACGUCAAAUCAUCAUGCCCCUUAUGACCUGGGCUACACACGUGCUACAAUGGAUGGUACAACGAGUUGCGAACUCGCGAGAGUAAGCUAAUCUCUUAAAGCCAUUCUCAGUUCGGAUUGUAGGCUGCAACUCGCCUACAUGAAGUCGGAAUCGCUAGUAAUCGCGGAUCAGCAUGCCGCGGUGAAUACGUUCCCGGGCCUUGUACACACCGCCCGUCACACCAUGAGAGUUUGUAACACCCAAAGUCGGUGGGGUAACCUUUUAAGAACCAGCCGCCUAAGGUGGGACAGAUGAUUAGGGUG
rnacentral:rRNA from 1 species